rnacentral:rRNA from 1 species
UACGAAGGGGGCUAGCGUUGUUCGGAAUUACUGGGCGUAAAGCGUGCGCAGGCGGCCUUCCAAGUCAGGGGUGAAAGCCCAGAGCUCAACUCUGGAAUUGCCUUUGAGACUGUGAGGCUUGAGUACGGGAGAGGUGAGUGGAAUUCCCAGUGUAGAGGUGAAAUUCGUAGAUAUUGGGAAGAACACCAGUGGCGAAGGCGGCUAUCUGGACCGGAACUGACGCUGAGGCGCGAAAGCGUGGGGAGCAAACAGG